rnacentral:misc_RNA from 1 species
CGAAAUGCGAUAAGUAAUGUGAAUUGCAGAAUUCAGUGAAUCAUCGAAUCUUUGAACGCACAUUGCGCCCGCCAGCACUCUGGCGGGCAUGCCUGUUCGAGCGUCAUUUCAACCCUCAGAACCCCUUGCGGGAUCUGGCGUUGGGGAUUGGCAUCCAGCCAGCCCCGAAAUCUAGUGGCGGUCCCUCCGCGACCUCCCCUGUGCAGUAGCGAUACCUCGCAGCGGGACAGCGGUCUGACCACGCCGUAAAACCCCCAACUUCUCAAGGUUGACCUCGAAUCAGGUAGGAAUACCCGCUAAACUUCAGC